ensembl:lncRNA
GGUAGUGCUUCAUACUGACUGACAAAGAGCUUUUAUUUAGCUCUUGCUAAUGCCUUACAAUAUUGGUGAAUUUUCAGUUACAGAGAAUCUAAUCCACUCCAGCUCCUUUAAGCAGAAAGGGAUUUAUUUUAGAGGAUUAAAUCACUUCCGGAAUGUUUGGUAGGGCUGAAGAAAUGGAGACUAGGAUGAAGGAAGUGGUCCAGGAGCCAAGAGAUAAAGUAUGAAAUAUGGAUAUCCUCAAGAGACGAGUAAAGAGAUUCUUUCUUAGAGCUUCCUGCAAGGAAUCCAGCCCUUCCAACACCUGGUUUCAGCUCGUUCAUCUUGUGUCAGACUUCUGCAAAACUGUCCAUCUAGUCAAGGCUAUGGUUUUUCCACUGGCCAUGUAUGGAUGUGAGAGUUGGACUAUAAGGGAAGCUGAGCACCGAAGAAUUGAUGCUUUUGAACAGUGGUGUUGGAGAAGACUCUUGAGAGUCCCUUGGACUGCAAGGAGAUCCAACCAGUCCAUUCUGAAGGAGAUCAGCCCUGAAUAUUCAUUGGAAGGACUGAUGCUGAAGCUGAAACUCCAAUACUUUGGCCACCUGAUGCAAAGAGUUGACUCAUUGGAAAAGACUCUGAUGCUAGGAGGGAUUGGGGGCAGGAAGAGAAGGGGACGACAGAGGAUGAGAUGGCUGGAGGGCAUCACUGACUUGAUGGACAUGAGUUUGGGUAAACUCCAGGAGUUGGUGAUGGACAGGAAGGCCUGGCGUGCUGCAAUUCAUGGGGUUGGCAAAGAGUCGGACACAACUGAGCGACUGACCUGAACUGAACUGAUUCUCUUCUCAGCAAGUGAAACAGUGGCUGCUUUGCUGGAGUGUUUUUUAAUUUUUUUUUCUUUUCCUUUGGCAGUAUUAUACCUGAAUUCCUGAUUAGUAUUGUCAGCAAUGAAGUCCUUUCCUUAGAACUCAUGUCUACAUUCAGUAACUGGCUAUAACAGGAAUAUCUCUGCAGAAUCUAAACUAGUCAGGAGCUGUGCUUCUGGUGUUUCAGUCUCUCAGAGAUGUGCUAAGUUUACUUUCAAGUCUCAAAUUGUAUUGUUAAAUCUGUAAAUGGAUCAAUUAGAUGCCAGUUAGGUACCAAUCUCUGCUUUUAUGACUGUAGUUCAUUUCUUAUUGAAAUAUAAUUCAUGGAACAUAAAAGACACUAUUUUAAAAUGUAUAAUUCAGUGGGUUUGAUAUAACAUUGUACAAUCAUUACUGCCAGCUAAUUUCUGAACAUUUUCAUCACCGCCCCCCAAAAUAUCUUGUACCUGUUAGCAGUCACUCCUAAUUUCCUCCAUUUUCUCACCACCAAUAAUCUACUUUCUUUGUGUAUUUGGCUAUUCUGGCUAUUUCAUAUGAAUGAAGUGAAUUGAAAGUCAUUCAGUCAUGUCCAACUCUUUGCAACCUCAUGGACUACAUAGUCCAUGGAUUUCUCCAGGCCCGAAUACUGGGAGUAGGUAGCUGUUCUUUCUCCAGGGGACCUUCGCAACCCAGGGAUCAAACCCAAGUCUGCAUUGCAGGCAGAUUCUUUACCAGCUGAGCCACUGGGGAAGUUCAACAGGCAAAUACACAGUCUACUUUCUUCGUGUAUUUGCCUAUUCUGGUAUUUAAUAUGAAUAGAAGUAUAUAAUAUGUGGCCUGUUUUGUCUGGCUUCUCUCACUUAGCAUAAUGCUUUCAAAGUUCAUACAUUUUGUAACAUGAAUCAGUACUUUAUUCUUUUUAUUGCUGAAUAAUAUUCCAUUGAAUGAACAUAACAAUUACUUUAUCCAUUAAUCCAUUAUGCGGCAUUGAGUGAGUUAUUGUGAAUAAUGCUGCUAUGAAUGUUCGUUUUCUGUGUUAAUUUGUUUUUGAUCCUCUUGGAUAUGUAGCUAAGAGUAGAAUUGCUAGUUUAUAUAACCUUAUGCUUAACUUUUUUGAGAAACUGUUAAAAUAUUUUCCGCAGAGGCAGCACCAUUUUUCAUUCCCAACACAAUGUAUGAAGAUGCCAACUUCUCCACAUCCUCCUGCACAUCUGUUUUUCCCCAAAAAUGUGAAGAAAUAUUUAACUCAACCAAAAAAAGGCAACCCAAUGAAAAUGGACGAAUGACUUAAAUAAACAGUAAAAUGUACAAAUAGCUAAUGGGCACAUGAAAAGAUGCUCAGUAUCAUUAGUCAUUCAGUUC